rnacentral:rRNA from 1 species
UACGGGGGGAGCAAGCGUUGUUCGGAUUUACUGGGCGUAAAGCGUGCGUAGGCGGUGUCUUAAGUUUGUUGUGAAAUCUCCCGGCUUAACCGGGAGGGUGCGGCGAAUACUGAGAUGCUGGAGUGCCGGAGAGGUAAGCGGAAUUCCUGGUGUAGCGGUGAAAUGCGUAGAUAUCAGGAGGAACACCUGCGGUGUAGACGGCUUACUGGACGGUAACUGACGCUGAGGCACGAAAGCGUGGGUAGCAAACAGG